ensembl:lncRNA
UUCCAUCAUUAUUACGUUUUCCAUCAUUAUUACGUUUUCCAUCAUUAUUACGUUUUCCAUCAUUAUUACGUUUUUUUUUUGUGGUUUUUUACUGAUAAUACCACCCAAAAGAUUUGUUACUUUACCUCCUGCAACAUUUUUAAAAUUAUUCAAUAGUUUUUUUGCAUGUUGUUUAGUUUUUUUCUUAAGAACUUCUUUGAGGUUUUCACCAUUAUCUAUAUUUUUAUUUUUUUUUGGAUUUAUUUGUGACUUAAAUGCACUUUCAACCGAAUCCGUUGAACCAACAUCAUCGUUAUUCUCAUCGUCAUCUUCAUUUUCAUCCUCAUCCUCUUCUACAUCUACAUCUACACUUUUAUCUUCAUCUGCAUCUAUAUCUAUAUUAUUAUCAUCAUUAUCACUGCUUGCUUCAGUAAACAAAUCUCCAAUUAAUCCAUAUUCUUCAUCAUUUUCAUCCUCUCCAAGCUUUUGCACAAAUGAAUUGUUAUGUGAUAUUUUAUCAGUUUCACUUUCAUCUAAAUAUGAUGUACUCAUAAUAAGGAUAUCUUUAUUAUCAGAUACAUCUGAAUCAUUAACUUCAUUUUUUUUUNNNNNNNNNNAAAAAAUGCAAAAGUACACGGUUUUACAGUAAAAAUUGAUAAAACGUUUGUUAACAAAUAGACCACUUAGGGGUUGAUAUAAUUCUCAUUGUUAAAAUGUAAGUGGUACUAAAAUGCAAGUGAUGCUAAAAUGCAAGUGAUGUUAAAAUGCAAGUUAUGUUAAAAUGUAAGUAAUAUUAAAAUGUAAGUUAUAUUAAAAUGUAAGUGAUAUUAAAAUGUAAAUUAUAUAUAAAAAAAAAAAAAAAAAAAAAAUAGAUAGAUAAA